AGCAGUAGCCACGGUAAUACGUAGGGUGCAAGCGUUAAUCGGAAUUACUGGGCGUAAAGCGUGCGCAGGCGGUUAUAUAAGACAGAUGUGAAAUCCCCGGGCUCAACCUGGGAACUGCAUUUGUGACUGUAUAGCUAGAGUACGGCAGAGGGGGAUGGAAUUCCGCGUGUAGCAGUGAAAUGCGUAGAUAUGCGGAGGAACACCGAUGGCGAAGGCAAUCCCCUGGGCCUGUACUGACGCUCAUGCACGAAAGCGUGGGGAGCAAACAGGAUUAGAUACCCGGGUAGUCCCUGUCUCUUAUAA
rnacentral:rRNA from 1 species